rnacentral:tRNA from 1 species
AAAUAGGAGCAAUACAAUGCAAAGUGGUUUCGGCCCACUUCUAUAAGAUGAAAUACCUUACCUAUUUU